CCAUGAAGAGGUAAAAGAAAAGCUGUCAGUGGCAGCUUACAUUUCUUGAUGCAAUGCUUUUGCAGGUAAAAUACAAAGGCUAACGGUAAAAGGUGUGGAAUGCCCUCGACCACAUGUCAACCGGUUAUGUGUGACGGGACUCGCAAUUAUGAGCUCUCCGCGGCGGCAGCAGCUGUGACCUGACGGUUGACAACAAGACGAUUUUGGUGAAUUCGUGAACAAUGCUAACAGUCACUCUACAGUGCUUCUCGUGGUAGUCUGGUAGACUCCGGAUACGUGUAUUCUAGGGAUGAAUGUGUGUGCAUAUAUGUGCAUUCAUUUAUGUAUUGUAAAAAUGUAUUUUUUUUAUCUUGAAACUUGGUAACUGUGGUGUAUCGUAGGGAAGGGGUAUAUGAUAAGCGAGUACCAUAAGCAUUUUCA